UACGUAGGGACCAAGCGUUGUUCGGAUUUACUGGGCGUAAAGGGCGCGUAGGCGGCGUGGUAAGUCACUUGUGAAAUCUCUGAGCUUAACUCAGAACGGCCAAGUGAUACUGCUGUGCUAGAGUGCGGAAGGGGCAAUCAGAAUUCUUGGUGUAGCGGUGAAAUGCGUAGAUAUCAAGAGGAAUACCUGAGGUGAAGACGGGUUGCUAGGCCGACACUGACGCUGAUGCGCGAAAGCCAGGGGAGCAAACGGG
rnacentral:rRNA from 1 species